rnacentral:rRNA from 1 species
GACGAACGCUGGCGGCGUGCUUAACACAUGCAAGUCGAACGGAAAGGCCCUGCUUUUGUGGGGUGCUCGAGUGGCGAACGGGUGAGUAACACGUGAGUAACCUGCCCUUGACUUUGGGAUAACUUCAGGAAACUGGGGCUAAUACCGGAUAGGAGCUCCUGCUGCAUGGUGGGGGUUGGAAAGUUUCGGCGGUUGGGGAUGGACUCGCGGCUUAUCCGCUUGUUGGUGGGGUAGUGGCUUACCAAGGCUUUGACGGGUAGCCGGCCUGAGAGGGUGACCGGCCACAUUGGGACUGAGAUACGGCCCAGACUCCUACGGGAGGCAGCAGUGGGGAAUAUUGCACAAUGGGCGGAAGCCUGAUGCAGCAACGCCGCGUGCGGGAUGACGGCCUUCGGGUUGUAAACCGCUUUCGCCUGUGACGAAGCGUGAGUGACGGUAAUGGGUAAAGAAGCACCGGCUAACUACGUG